rnacentral:ribozyme from 14 species
AGCGAAGGCAGUAGCCGAUGCAACGAAAAGAGAGAAACCGAUAACCUUCAUUUUUUGAUAUUUUUCUGAUAUGACAACUAAAUUAUGGUGAAUGAAGUAGAGAUAAAAGAUGCAAUCUCUUUCUUUUUCAUCGAGACACAAACCUGUA